AUGACACGUUCAGUAGAAUUCGCGGGUGACUUGAGUGAACAAGGCUCAACACAUUGGACACGGGCUGACUAAUCUCGCACUAGAUGAAAAUAUGUGAUUGUAGCCUAUGCUGUCUGGUUUCAUCUUGCAUUUCUCAUGGUGAGUAAUAAAACAAUCAUUUUUCAAUAAUACUCUACUUUUUCAUAGAUUAUUCAAUACCUGCUUUGUCCAUCGUCCACUCCCCUGGACCUUGAAAGUAUUUCUAGAUUUUAGUGAAAUCUUUCGAUUCAGAAUAAGAAGUAGGCCCUACUGGAAAAAAAUGACCACUCAAGGCUAGAGAAGAAUAAUAAGUGACAAUUAUACUACUUCAAUCAGAUUAUAUUAUUAAGUCAGCCAUUUAAAAGAACAUUAAAAAAUUAUUUCCCCACUGAACCUUGGAUUGAGGAAUAAUUUAAUAAUUUUUAAUAACAUUACUAUUGACGAUCAUUUUCAAUAUUCUUGAAACAAUGUGUGAAGGCCCUGAAAUUUCUUUCUUAGCCAAUUGUAGAUCGGCCAAAUAUUAUUAGCAACUCUAUUAACUCUUUGUACAACCUGAAUUUUUUUCAAUUCUAUGAUGGCGGCCAUGACACACAAGAUGGCUGACUAAUUAUUGUCAGCGUCAGUGUGUGUGGAAGAGAGAGUGAGAGGGAGCACAAGUGAGUGAAUAAGAGAGAAAGAGUGAAUGAGUUAGAGGAGUGAUUAUGGAACACAACAUGUGCAGAAUAAUGGCGGAAGAGAUAUAAAAAACAGGCUGCCUGCACAUGAGGGCCUACACAAAUUUGCGCGGGAUUCUAUGCAUUAUUGAUUGGGAUAGAAUACAGUAUAUUAUUUUGUACUAUAGACUGAUUUACUUUAGUACAUGUGAGUAGCGUAUGUUAGUACAUUCCUAUUGAAACAGUCUUCAGCAAUAAACUUAUGAUGCGAUAUUUUAAAACUACUACUUACUAUCCAACUCAAAAUUACAAGAAAAUCAUCCGUAUCAAUAAUAGAUUCAUAAGUUGUAAAAUCGCUUCCCGGUGGUUCAGAAUCCACCUAAAACUGUAGAUCCAUUCAUCUCUCAUGAAUCCGCAUUCAUCCAUCCGCCUCAUUACCCACGCACAAGCCUAGAGAUCAUGUUGGCAUCACCCUCAGCAUAAAAAUUAACAAUAAUUGUUCUAAAAAGGCGUGUAUUUUUUUAACAGCAGAGAUCUUUCAAAAUGAACUGGUCAUUUGAAACGUAUUGGAUCUAAUCAAACAAAUUUCUAUCAUAUAGUAUUUAAAAAUGUGAACAUUUCUUGUUCUAUAGAUUGUCUAGCGAUUUGCUUUAUAUAUUGUGGAGACAAUUAUUAUUCUGUGGAUGUCAUGAUUGGGCUCUGUAGAUAUACUAAUUACUGCUGUAAUUUAUUACUAUUAAUCUUCAAGAUGACUCAAGUGAUGAAACUUUAACGAAUCUUUGGGGUAAAUCAUAUAUUUUAGUCUAUUAAUUAGGAUCAGGAAAAAAGUUGUGUUAUCAGUAUGUUUUUUAUUUUCUAUGAAUUUUUGAAAAUUCAAGAAAAGUGCCGAUAUGAGUAGAGUAUAAAAGUAGAAAGUAGGAUAUAAUAUUUCAUAACUCAACUUGAUAUUUUUUCCAAUUUUGAGCCUCAGAACACAAUAAAUAAUCUUGUAUCAAACCAUCUCUAUCUAUCCUUGAUAAUGAUUAUCUGUUUCGCUUACCAACUACCCUACUGUUAAGCAGCAGUCUAUCUUUUCCAUGUUGGAAGUUGUUAUAGCAGUGGAGCAGCAUUCAAUUGCGUUGACCUUGACCAGUACCUACUUGUUUUAUUCUGUGGAUUAUCUAGUGGAUAAAUUAUCCGGUAAUAGCACGUUUUGCUCCCGGCAACUUUUCAUUAGGCCAUUUUUAUUUACAAGUUGAAAACUGAAUAAUUAUUAUUAGUAAAGUAAAAGUUGUGGUGUUUUGUCGUUUGAAUUGAUGAUGAUGAUGAUAGAUUGAUGGUGGUGCGGGAGAGGGGAAAGGCAGGUUAGGUUAGCUGGAGGGGAAAUGACGCGCAGUCAGUGCUGCGUCGGGGUUCCCCUCCUAUCCCCUUGGAAUCCCCACUCCUUGCCAAGUUUCCCCUCUUGCCAGCGUGUUUCGGACUUGUUCCACGUAGCGAAUGCCAUUUGCUUGCGUGCCUCAGUUCUGUCAACAUGUGCUCCGCUCUUGGCAGGUGUCCUCUCCACUCACGAGGCUUCUUCUACCUACUCAGUCAACUAUAAUAAUAUUCAUGAAACACCUCACUUAUUAUGUGAUGAAUUUCAAGCUCUGCUCUACCGGUAUGUUUUCUCUGACUCUUGUUAAACAAGUAUUAUCAAGGUAAGGCAGAAUUUAUUCAUAUCUUAGCACGCAUAACAUUAAUACAUAUCUCCGAUAAGCAAUAACGGACUCAAAUUGGAAUCAUUACCACUAAAAUACAAGUUUCAAAUAAAAGUGCAUCUAUAUGUUACACAUUUAUAGUGAGGUAUAUGCAUUAUGUAUAGAUAUCUGAUCUCCUCUUAUCGAUACUGUAAUGCUUUUAAAUUGACAUUCUUCAUCAAAUUGUCCACCUUUAUCAGUAUUGGUAUUCCUCUUAUCUCUUCUCUUAUGUUCUUGUUAAAAUUAUUCGAUCUUCUAUUCUCCUUUAUGUUCAUUUUUCUGCAAAGUUUAAUGUGAACUCGAACUUCUUAGAACUUUUUACAACUUUCAAACUUUCAGUGAGAAGGUUGCAUACACAAUUUAUGCUCACAUGCACUUUAUUCAGGUCUCGCUCCAACGUAUAUGCAAUCACAAAUUUCCAUAAUCCAUCCGAAAUUAUACCUCACCCGGUAAUGCACAUGAAUUCUCGAUUUUAUUGUUGCUCUAUUCAAAUACGGUUGUUGGCAGGCAUGUCCGUCCCUACUUGCUGCAAAGAAAGUCGACGCACUUUCGUGUGCGAGUGCCUGUAGGCCUACUAUAUAGCUAGGGGGGGGGGAGUGGAAUAGGUGUUGUAAAUUUGCCGAGAACAUGCAGGCUAUGUUGUGUGUUGGCACGUGAUAAGUUGACGAGAGCGGGGAGUCUUCAGGGCAACUUCAAGUAGACUAACGUGCUCUCUGUUUUCAGUUUUCUUCCCUCAAAUUUGAUUUCUGCUUCAAACUGACCAGUUUUGGGUCAGAUUUUGGGCCUUAUUCAAGUCAUGUAAUCGAAUAACCGAGAUUACACACUACUGUACCAAAUCAUGUUUUCCCAAAAUACUAGUUGUGUUUUUUAUUCAAUUACGGGUACUAUCAAGCAUAAUAAAUGUAGUUUGUACUGUGCGCACACAAUACGUUUAUUUAUUCAAUUAUUUUAAAGUUUUAUUAAUAUUAUUUUAUUCAAUAUGUAACUCAAUUCAAAUCAUUUUGGCAAGACUUAUUCUGAAUGACUUUUGAAUGAUACAACCUGUAUCACUUUUUAUUUUUUAUUGAAUUCUUAUUGUAUUGUUUUACUGAAUACUUGUCAUGUGGGUGAAAUAAUAGAUCUAUAUUCUUCAAACUAAACCCGUUAUUAUUGUCAUAUUUCAAUGAUUGCAGUAUUAUUUUUACAGCAAUUAUAAUAGUUAACCGAAUAUUAUACUAUCCCAUUAUAUUUUAUAGUACAGAUGUGUGUUUUUAAACUAUGUCGAAUGUGUGAAUGUGCCAUGUGAAUGGAACAGCAUAAUCCACACGAUAGAAGUGCAAUAAUACUCAAUGGUGGUAUAGAGUACUUAGAGUGCAGUGUAAUAGUAUUCUUGUGGUCUUCUCUUCUGGGAAUUUCCCGCUAGUUCCAAUCUUCUUCUAUAGAACGAGAUAUUCUUCUCCUAUCUACAUCGUCAGGACCACAAUCACGUACCCAUCUCUACUAUCUGUUUCUAUCUCUAGCCGUUUGUGGUCUCCCGCCCAAAUUGCUGUUCAAUUUGUUGAAGAACUUUUAUGGUUGCGAUGAUCAAACCUUGAGACGCUUGUCCUACCCCACGCUGCAUUGUUUUCACUCUCUCGCAUCACGCGCGCAAAAUGUGUCCUUUUCAAUUUGCGCCGCGCCGCUAAGUGCACGAUUCUCGGCGCAUUGCUGUUCACGACCGUGUGAGGUCACUCGCCUCAUGAUGGCCUAGUCACUGCUUCACUAAAUGAACCUCUCACAACUGAAUCUGUAAACCUGUAACGACAAAAACCAAAUAUCCACUGCUAAAACUCAGAAGAAACUCCUAAUCAGAAGUUUCCAGUAUGAAUUGAGCAGAGAAUGUUUAGUUGCAUAAUAGUAUUAUUAAAAUGCAACUGAAGGAAUAUCCACACGCUACGUUGUAUUUUAAGGCCUCAUGGAUAAUCUCAGUUGAGAAUGAAAAAUCUCUACAGAGAUGAAUUUGAAUAUCAUAACCUCAAAAUUUCAUGAGAAAAAAUAAUAUUCAUAAGACACAGCUACAUGCU